rnacentral:rRNA from 1 species
UUUAACGGCCGCGGUAUCCUGACCGUGCAAAGGUAGCAUAAUCACUUGUUCCUUAAAUAGGGACUUGCAUGAAUGGCUAAACGAGGGUUUAUCUGUCUCUUACUUCCAAUCAGUGAAAUUGACCUCCCCGUGAAGAGGCGGGGAUAAAUAAAUAAGACGAGAAGACCCUAUGGAGCUUUAAUCUAAUUAGCUCAAGCAAUAACUUAUAUUACUUUCUACAAGAAAUUAAACUCUUUUGCCCAUGAGCUAUGGAUUUUGGUUGGGGUGACCUCGGAGUACAAUCAACCCUCCGAAUGAUCUUAAUCAAGACUUUACCCGUCUAAAUUUUUACUCAUUAAUUGACCCAAACUAUUGAUCAACGGAACAAGUUACCCUAGGGAUAACAGCGCAAUCCUACCCAAGAGUCCAUAUCGACAGUAGGGUUUACGACCUCGAUGUUGGAUCAGGACAUCCAAAUGGUGCAACCGCUAUUAAUGGUUCGUUUGUUCAACGAUUAAAGUCCU